GAUGAACGCUAGCGACAGGCUUAACACAUGCAAGUCGAGGGGCAGCAUACUAAUCAGCUUGCUGAUUAUGGUGGCGACCGGCGCACGGGUGAGUAACGCGUAUGCAACCUACCUAUCAGAGGGGGAUAGCCCAUCGAAAGAUGGAUUAAUACCGCAUAAAACAGGGGCCUCGCAUGAGGAUAUUUGUUAAAGAGAUUCGCUGAUAGAUGGGCAUGCGUUCCAUUAGUUAGUUGGUGAGGUAACGGCUCACCAAGACAUCGAUGGAUAGGGGUUCUGAGAGGAAGGUCCCCCACACUGGUACUGAGACACGGACCAGACUCCUACGGGAGGCAGCAGUGAGGAAUAUUGGUCAAUGGGCGAGAGCCUGAACCAGCCAAGUCGCGUGAAGGAUGACUGCCCUAUGGGUUGUAAACUUCUUUUAUAUGGGAAUAAAAAACACUACGUGUAGUGUAUUGCAUGUACCAUAAUGAAUAAGCAUCGGCUAACUCCGUGCCAGCCGCCGCCGUAACAC
rnacentral:rRNA from 1 species